GCCAGGGUGGCGGAAUUGGUAGACGCAAGGGACUUAAAAUCCCUCGAGCUAUUGCUUGUACGGGUUCGAUUCCCGUCCCUGGUA
rnacentral:tRNA from 1 species